rnacentral:rRNA from 1 species
GCUUAACACAUGCAAGUCGAGCGACGAACCGGGCUUCGGCCCGGGGCAAAGCCGCGAACGGGUGAGUAUCACGUGGGUAACCUGCCCCGAUGACCGGGACAACCCGAGGAAACUCGGGCUAAUACCGGAUGUGUUCUCAAUCCAUCAGGGUUGUGAGCAAAGGAAGCUUCGGCCUCCGCAUCGGGAUGGGCCCGCGGCCCAUUAGCUUGUUGGUGAGGUAAAAGCUCACCAAGGCGACGAUGGGUAGCUGGUCUGAGAGGACGAUCAGCCACACUGGGACUGAGACACGGCCCAGACUCCUACGGGAGGCAGCAGUGGGGAAUCUUGCGCAAUGCGCGAAAGCGUGACGCAGCAACGCCGCGUGAGGGAAGAAGGCCUUCGGGUUGUAAACCUCUUUCAGGAGGGACGAAGCCAGGGCGGUGAAUAGCCGACCCUGGUGACGGUACCUCCAGAAGAAGCCCCGGCUAACUACGUGCCAGCCGCCGCGGUAAUUC